CGAUUAAUUUUCGUCCCAUCAAAGAUGGUUAAUUUUCGUCCUGAAUUCUACCUCCCGCAACCCAGCGAUUCCCCCCUUCCGCCCUUAAAAUCGACAAAAAAAACGAUAUGCUACCACGAGGCCCGUUGUGAAACACUAUAAUUCAUGAACAGAAAAUCCUCCUACAAAAAUUUACGACGGUUAACCUACGAAGAAAGACCUACGCCCCGACCGCUGCCCGCGGGUCGCCCGCUCCCUCGCGCCCCUGUUGCUCCCUCCUCGAUCCCGAUCUGGAUCGAGGGGACGAGGAGCUCCUGCCUCCCCGACGGCCGGCCUCCUCCUCGCCCCGCUGCUGCGUCCGGCGCCGCCACGGCCUCUGGAGCCAGGGAAGCCAUGGCCUGAGCUCGGCCUCGAGGUCCCCGCCGCCGUCUCCUGCAGCUUCUGCCCCGCCGCCUCACCGCCCGAGCUCGCCGUCGCACCAACCUCGGCGCCGCGCCGCCGCCGGCUCUGGUCGCCUCCACCUCCGCUCCAGUGCUUAAGGAUGGAGGAGAACGGCCUGAAGUUCGUGCUCGAUCUGGUGGUCAGGUUCCCACUUCGGCAAGAGUUUGCCGAUGACCUUAAGCACUCCGAUCCAGUGCCGCUAAGGCUGCCACCCAGGGGGAGGCUGGCGCUCUUGGCACGGAGGAUUCAAUUGGUGAAUUUGGCUGCGCCCUGAGGUUAAUCGGGAGGCACCUGGAUGGACGAAAAGGCAAAGCCUAAGGCCGAGAAUAGCCGAUCAUGCAUGUACGAGUGUCCCGCGCUGAUCAGGUUGCUACAUGCAGCUAAUAAAUAGUUGGUUCAUAACUGAGCACAUAAAGAAUCACAACCAUUUGAUGUUCGUUACACUCAGGGAGAAGGUUCAUUGGCACAUAGACUUCUGUGUUAACAGGGCGACAACGUCAAGGAUGGCAUCUGCGAGAACUCUUUUGUGUUAGAUAAAUUGAUGAUUAUGUCUGGAUCUCCGGGGGCAGACACUAUCAUACUGAAGCUCUGCCGGACCACGACUGUCAACAGGGUCACCGUAUUCUUUGAGGAACACAAACAAUCCAGGAUCCAAAUGAACUUGGUUACGUACUAAAUUAUUGUUGAGGAUCUCAGGUAAUCGUUGCAGUUGAAGAUUACGCCCCUGAUCAUCAUUCUCAUUUUCAAACUUGCCAUUUAUCAGAGGAUUUGGAUGGGGUGCAUUCAUGCAUUAUAUUGGAGCAAGGACCUGCCGAGGAGGGGGAUACCAUGGGGAGGCGAACCUGGUAAAAUAGGGGUGGAAAGUAUACUAUAGACUGUGGGGUUUGUGUAUCCUUAUCCAGGACAUUGUGAAGGCUUCUGAUGCAGUUUACAAGAAGCAAUUGGUGAGCUAAUUCAGAGAUAAGUGAAAUGAUAAUAAGAAGGUUAAAUAAUGUUGUUCAAUCUUUCCGUCAAGCAACCUGUUUGGCCCCAAAUGUCCGCACCGACGCGGUGACGCCCGUGGGCGCCACCGUUCCUUCCUGAAGGGCAUCGGGUGUUGCUUGGCAUGCGGAGGUUCAAGGUGCUAGGAGCGAGGUGGUAAAUCUCCGGUGGGCGCAGCGGUUGCGGGUCAUCAUCAUUUUCGUCGAUCCGACGCUGUCGACAUUAUUUUCUCUCUUCUUUCUCUUUUUUUUUCGUUUGGGCGUGCUUGUGCUGUUUGCCCCAGCAUUGGACUCUUGGUUGUAUUGGGUUGUUGCUAUAUCUAUAUAGCGGGGCGAAAGCCUAUUUCGUAAGAUUCUUCCAUGAAUUCAAGACUUGGCAAACCACUCCCAUUACAAGGUUCCAUAACACAUGCUGGAUUUGUAUGUCAGGAUAUCUGAAGGGCAAAAACUUAGUACAUUUAUUCUGUUUUUUAAUAAAUCUCCCUCUUGAAAUGAGCUACAACUACUAACGAGUUAUUCUUCUCAUAUCUGUAAGAACACAUUUCUAUAUAUGGCUUCUAUUAGGGCGACUUGAUUGAG
rnacentral:rRNA from 1 species